rnacentral:rRNA from 1 species
UACGUAGGGUGCGAGCGUUGUCCGGAAUUACUGGGCGUAAAGAGCUCGUAGGCGGUUUGUCGCGUCGGGAGUGAAAUCCACUGGCUUAACUGGUGGCCUGCUUUCGAUACGGGCAGACUGGAGGUAUGCAGGGGAGAACGGAAUUCCUGGUGUAGCGGUGAAAUGCGCAGAUAUCAGGAGGAACACCGGUGGCGAAGGCGGUUCUCUGGGCAUGUCCUGACGCUGAGGAGCGAAAGUGUGGGGAGCGAACAGG